rnacentral:rRNA from 1 species
CAAAAACAUGUCUAUAUGAAGUUGAAUAAAGUCUAGUCUGCCCAUUGAAUAAAAUUUAAAAGGCCGCAGUAUCCUAACUGUGCAAAGGUAGCAUAAUCAUUAGUUUUUUAAUUGGAGGCUUGUAUGAACGAUUGGACAAGAGCUAAACUGUCUUUUUUUUAACUAGUUGAAUUUUAUUUCUGAGUGAAAAAGCUUAGAUAAAUGAGAGGGACGAUAAGACCCUAUAAAUCUUUAUAAAAGUUUAUUUUUAAAAUAAAAUAUUUAUUUAAUAUGUUUUAGAAAUAUAAUUUUAUUGUACUGGGGCGGUAUUAAUAUAAAAUAAACUGUUAAUAAAUUAAACAAAUAUAUUUGAUAUUAAAUGAUCCUUAUUAUAGAUUAAAAGAGAAAGUUACUUUAGGGAUAACAGCAUAAUUUUUUUUGAGAGUUCAGAUCGAAAAAAAAGUUUGUGACCUCGAUGUUGAAUUAAGAAUUCCUUAUGGUGCAGCAGUUAUAGAGGAAAGUCUGUUCGACUUUUAAAUUUUUACAUGAUUUGA